rnacentral:misc_RNA from 1 species
AGCAGCCGCGGUAAUUCCAGCUCCAAUAGCGUAUAUUAAAGUUGUUGCAGUUAAAAAGCUCGUAGUUGAAUUUCGGGAUCAAUAUGUUGGUCGUGCCUCGGUACGUACUAGCUUAUUGGUUUCUCCUUUCUGAAGAACCAUGAUGUCAUUUAUUUGGUGUCGUGGGGAAUCAGGACUGUUACUUUGAAAAAAUUAGAGUGUUUAAAGCAGGCUCACGCUUGAAUACAUUAGCAUGGAAUAAUGAAAUAGGACGUUUGAUUCUAUUUUGUUGGUUUCUAGGAUCGACGUAAUGAUUAAUAGGGAUAGUUGGGGGCAUUAGUAUUCAAUUGUCAGAGGUGAAAUUCUUGGAUUUAUUGAAGACUAACUACUGCGAAAGCAUUUGCCAAGGAUGUUUUCAUUAAUCAAGAACGAAAGUUAGGGGAUCGAAGACGAUCAGAUACCGUCGUAGUCUUAACCAUAAACUAUGCCGACUAGGGAUCGGAUGA